ensembl:lncRNA
CUGGCCCUUGGGAACCCGUCUGCCCUGGCCGCUGGCCGCGCCUCCCGCUCCGGGGCGCGCGGGGCCCUGGCUUCUCGGAACUCCGCUCCGCGGGAGAGGAGGCCGGCGCUCGCCGGGUAAGACGCACCGGAGCCGGGAGCGAGAGCUCGAGGCCCUGAGCGCCGAGCCUCGGCUGCCGGCCCAGGCAGGUGAGUGGCCUCGGCGCCUCCCGGCUCGCGCGCCCGAAACGGGCGCGGCCUGGCCCGGACCCGCGGUCUCUCCGUACGUCUGUUUCUGCUCCCUGCCUGUAGCUUACGACUCAUCAACGCGUAAAACGCGAUCGCAGCGAAACCUCCAGCCUGUCUUGCCGCCUCAGAGCCCAGCAGGGGCUUCUCAAAGACAACGCGGCACCGGGGACAAUCCCCGGUGUCCGGCAAGGCCGCCCCAUGGAGUUCAAAGUCGGGGAUGGAGCGCGGGAGGCCCCGGACUCGCAGGCCGGCCGCCAGGCGGUGAACGCCGGAGCCGAGCGGAAGCUUACCGCCGACCGCGAUCCCAGCGUCGGUUCGCGGGGAGACGGUCGUUCCGAGCUUUCAGGAGAGCAGAUUAUCGGAGCCCUUUCAGAGCGCGCACAACAAAUGCGCCCGCCAUCGAAUGCAUCAUUUACCACCGCAGAUCCGCGCAUUGAUGGGCAGGCAGAUAGCCGUCCGCGGGGGGCAUUCGGGCGCCCGGUGCGCGGGCCGCCGGCCGGCCUGCCUGCCGAAGGCACCCAAGUGU